CAGCGACAUUUGCGGUGUCGGCGUCGGCGUCGGCGUCGGCAAAAGUGUGUUGUCGUCGGAGAUGGCGGAGGAGGAGGGAGAGAGAGAGAGGACGAGAAGGGCGGGGAAGGGAGAGAGAGGGUGAGAGAGGCGUCGUCGUUGGAGACGGAGGAGGAGGGUUGGAGAGGGAAAAAAAAAGAGUCGCGACGCAGCCUCGGCGGGGUCGGAGGCGGGGAAGGCGGGGGGUGCAUGAGCGAGGGCGAGGGCAUGAGGGUGAGAGGCGAGGUAGGCCCUUUCCGCCUCCGCCUCUGCCUCUACUGCCUUCUUCGGCGAGAGAAAAAAAAACGAGAGAAAAAGAAGGAGAGAGAAAGAGGAGAGAGCAAAAUUAAUAAGGGUAGUUUUGGUCUGUUUAUUGAAAUUCCGGCUCGAAUCUGCAAAAUCGAAACAGGUGG
rnacentral:lncRNA from 1 species